rnacentral:rRNA from 1 species
ACUCCUACGGGAGGCAGCAGUGGGUGAAUUUUGGACAAUGGGCGAAAGCCUGAUCCAGCAAUGCCGCGUGUGUGAAGAAGGCCUUCGGGUUGUAAAGCACUUUUGUCCGGAAAGAAAUCCUUGGCUCUAAUACAGCCGGGGAUGACGUACCGAAG